UCUGCUAGGGUUUUUCAACCCCAGCUCUUAAAUGUCGUCGUUCUCAGGCGAGCCGAUCCCCAGCGCUCCGUCAAGCUCCGAUCUGAGCGAGGCGAACGGAGUUUCGACGGCGAAUCCUCGAAGGUAUUACCCCUCUCCUCUUUUAUAUUAUUAUUUUACAAAAUAAGAAAAAAUCGACAAGAAUAGAAAAAAAAAUAGAAAACGCGAUUCACCUUUAAACUUUGAUUCUUUUUCUCUCUUAUUUUUAGUAUCUGUCCCCUAUUUGAACUCUCUGUGUUGCAAAAAUAAUAGCUUUCUUUUUUAUUGAUUUUCGGCUCUCGUAUACAAUACAUCCAUGGCUUUUUUAUAGCCGAAUCGAACCAUGUAAAGAAGAAACUAAUUUCUUUUUAUUUGAUUUGUGAAUCUUUGAUUUUGUUUCUUUUUUUUUUUUGUGUUUAUUUGCUGUGCAGGUGAAGAUCCGGGGCUGUGGUGCUUGGAGGGCAUGGUUGCGGCGGCUGAAGAUUAGAAACCCUAGGGUUUCUGAUGAUUUUGGGCCAUCGCAAUUUGGGCCUUUGUUUUAUUCUGGGUUUGGGUCAUAUAGGCCUGUUUGUAAUUUGGAUUUGGUUUUGUAAAAAAAAAAGAAUUGUUUAUUAGGGGCCGGGUAAAAUUUAGGUAUUACAGUAGUCAUUAAUUCUUUUUGGUUAAAUUUAACUAUAGUCAUGUAUCAUAUCUACAAUUGUAGAUUUAGGCUAUAUUCUCUAACGGG
rnacentral:lncRNA from 1 species